rnacentral:rRNA from 1 species
UACGUAGGCAGCGAGCGUUGUUCGGAAUUACUGGGCGUAAAGAGUGUGUAGGCGGUGCUCUAAGUUCGGUGUGAAAUCUCCUGGCUCAACUGGGAGGGUGCGCCGGAAACUGCCGUGCUGGAGUGUGGGAGAGGUGAGUGGAAUUCCCGGUGUAGCGGUGAAAUGCGUAGAUAGUCGGGAGGAACACCAGAGGCGAAAGCGGCGACC